CAGCGCAUUAGUGAGAUAAAUGUUGAAAAUCGGAACCAACAGAAGGAUAUGCAUACUGCAGGGCCAAAAAGUUUUGCUAGAAUAAGAAAAAAAUUGCAAGAUGAAAAGGAGGAUAAGGCUGAUCCGACUUUGGCGGAAAUGUUCAUUGCCACGCGCAAGAGAAAAGCGGGCCGUUCAUACAAGGAAUCAAGGGAAGAUACAACUAGCAAAAUUUCCAAAUUGCAGGA